UACGUAGGGGGCAAGCGUUGUCCGGAAUCAUUGGGCGUAAAGCGCGUGUAGGCGGCUUGGUAAGUCCGCUCUGAAAGCCCGGGGCUCAACCCCGGGAGGCGGGUGGAUACUGCUGAGCUCGAGUCCGGAAGAGGCGAGUGGAAUUCCUGGUGUAGCGGUGAAAUGCGCAGAUAUCAGGAGGAACACCGAUGGCGAAGGCAGCUCGCUGGGACGGUACUGACGCUGAGACGCGAAAGCGUGGGGAGCAAACAGG
rnacentral:rRNA from 1 species